rnacentral:rRNA from 1 species
CCUACGGGGGGCAGCAGUGGGGAAUAUUGCACAAUGGGGGAAACCCUGAUGCAGCGACGCCGCGUGAGUGAAGAAGUAUUUCGGUACGUAAAGCUCUAUCAGCAGGGAAGAAAAUGACGGUACCUGACUAAGAAGCCCCGGCUAACUACGUGCCAGCAGCCGCGGUAAUACGUAGGGGGCAAGCGUUAUCCGGAUUUACUGGGUGUAAAGGGAGCGUAGACGGCAGCGCAAGUCUGGAGUGAAAUCCCAUGGCUUAACCAUGGAACUGCUUUGGAAACUGUGCAGCUAGAGUGCAGGAGAGGUAAGCGGAAUUCCUAGUGUAGCGGUGAAAUGCGUAGAUAUUAGGAGGAACACCAGUAGCGAAGGCGGCUUACUGGACUGUAACUGACGUUGAGGCUCGAAAGCGUGGGGAGCAAACAGGAUUAGAUACCCUAGUAGUC